rnacentral:tRNA from 1 species
AGUUCAGUUGGUUAGAGCAUGGUGCUAAUAACACCAAGUUCACAGGUUCAAUCCCUGCU